AGAGUUUGAUCCUGGCUCAGGACGAACGCUGGCGGCGUGCCUAAUGCAUGCAAGUCGAACGCUGCACCUUCGGGUGUAGAGUGGCGAACGGCUGAGGAACACGUAUGCACCAACCCCGGUGUGGGGGGACAACCUGGCGAAAGCCAGGCUAAUCCCGCAUACGCUCUGCGGAGUAAAGUCGCAAGACGCAUCGGAACGGGCGUGCGGCCCAUCAGGUAGUUGGCGGGGUAACGGCCCACCAAGCCCGUGACGGGUAGCUGGUCUGAGAGGACGACCAGCCAGACUGGGACUGUGACACGGCCCAGACUCCUACGGGAGGCAGCAGCAAGGAAUUUUCGGCAAUGGGCGAAAGCCUGACCGAGCAACGCCGCGUGCAGGAUGACGGCCUUCGGGUUGUAAACUGCUUUUGUGUGGGAAGAUACGGACGGUACCACACGAAUCAGCCCCGGCUAACUCUGUGCCAGCAGCCGCGGUAAUACAGAGGGGGCAAGCGUUGUCCGGAUUUACUGGGCGUAAAGGGUACGUAGGCGGUUCUUUAGGUGGGGUGUGACAUCUCCAAGCUUAACUUGGAGCGGCCGCUCCAAACCAGAGAACUCGAGUCGUGCAGAUGUCGGUGGAAUUGCCAGUGUAGCAGUGAAAUGCGUAGAGAUUGGCAGGAACACCAAGGGCGCAAGCAGCCGACAGGGCACGAACUGACGCUGAGGUACGACAGCGUGGGGAGCGAGCAGGAUUAGAUACCCUAGUAGUCC
rnacentral:rRNA from 1 species